rnacentral:rRNA from 1 species
GAACGGUAAGGCCUUCGGGUACACGAGUGGCGAACGGGUGAGUAACACGUGGGUGAUCUGCCCUGCACUUUGGGAUAAGCCUGGGAAACUGGGUCUAAUACCGAAUAGGACCGCGGCCUUCAUGGGUUGUGGUGGAAAGCUUUUGCGGUGUGGGAUGGGCCCGCGGCCUAUCAGCUUGUUGGUGGGGUAAUGGCCUACCAAGGCGACGACGGGUAGCCGGCCUGAGAGGGUGACCGGCCACACUGGGACUGAGAUACGGCCCAGACUCCUACGGGAGGCAGCAGUGGGGAAUAUUGCACAAUGGGCGCAAGCCUGAUGCAGCGACGCCGCGUGAGGGAUGACGGCCUUCGGGUUGUAAACCUCUUUCAGUAGGGACGAAGCGCAAGUGACGGUACCUAUAGAAGAAGGACCGGCCAACUACGUG